rnacentral:ncRNA from 12 species
AUACAAGGAAUGUAAUGGAUGUACGGGAGCCAAGGAUGCUAUAAACGGAGCUAAUGUAAAGGGAUGUUCAGGACACUGGCCGGAGCGCCGGGCGAAUCGCCUUCAGGGUUUGAGGGGUGGCAAGGAUCGCGUAUUGCAGGAGGGAGAAACCGGGACGUUAUCUAAGUGCAGGGAGUGCGCUGUAAGGAUAUCCUUCCGCAGAAGGUGCGAAAAAAGGCGACAGGUUAACCUGCCGCCUUUUUUCUUUCUCUUCUU